GACGAACGCUGGCGGCGCGCUUAACACAUGCAAGUCGAGCGAGAACCAGGACUUCGGUCCUGGGGACAGCGGCGAACGGGUGAGUAACACGUGGGUAAUCUGCCCUCGAUUCUGGGAUAGCCCGGGGAAACCCGGAUUAAUACCGGAUAGCCUUUCGAGCCUUCGGGCGCGAAAGAAAAGGUAGCUUCGGCCUCCGAUCGAGGAUGAGCCCGCGGUGGAUUAGCUUGUUGGCGGGGUAAUGGCCCACCAAGGCGACGAUCCAUAGCUGGUCUGAGAGGACGAUCAGCCACACUGGGACUGAGACACGGCCCAGACUCCUACGGGAGGCAGCAGUGGGGAAUCUUGCGCAAUGGGCGAAAGCCUGACGCAGCGACGCCGCGUGGGG
rnacentral:rRNA from 1 species